UAAAAUAAAAUCAUUAUUUAUCUCUACAAUUACGUCAUUUCCCCUGCAACACGAACUGGUGCAUGUGGAGUAGCCGUAUGGCGGCAAAUGACAGUCGAAAUCUCGACGCAUUUCUAACAGAAUGGCCGUCCCAUUUGGACUGAUAGGAUGAUUGAACUCUUGCCGUAGUGAAUCAUGAAGUUUGAUUGUAUGUGGAGGCAGACUGGAGAAGUAUUGAAUCCAAAUUUGAGCGAAUUGCAAUUUGGAAAUGACUGUUUGAAUUGCAGCCAGAAAGGAGGUUGGUAAACUUGAUACACGGGAAUAAACAUUCUAAAACUCUCUGGUCAAUGUGCAUGGAAAGCACUAGGACAAAGAAAAGAAUAGCUGCUAAGGAACUUAAUUUUAAAGUUGAGUAGAAACUCACUGUCAUAUACGAUCAUGUUCAAAGUAGCGUAUGGGAUGUCUUAUGAAUAUUGUCCUCAAGAACAUAAAAGUCGAAGGAAUAUUUCUACAAGUUUGAGCACUCUGGUGACUCUAGUGUAAAACAGCAACAAUGUGUAACCAUCUGUUCUACUCCCCAGUCUUGAGCCCCCAUUGCACAGUAGGGUACAUUGUUAUACAAAUUGUGUAUAUAAAGCAUACAGGGUGUGUUAAAAAACUUCAAUCC